UGGGGAAUUUUGGACAAUGGGCGAAAGCCUGAUCCAGCAAUGCCGCGUGUGUGAAGAAGGCCUUCGGGUUGUAAAGCACUUUUGUCCGGAAAGAAAUCCUUGGCUCUAAUACAGUCGGGGGAUGACGGUACCGGAAGAAUAAGCACCGGCUAACUACGUGCCAGCAGCCGCGGUAAUACGUAGGGUGCAAGCGUUAAUCGGAAUUACUGGGCGUAAAGCGUGCGCAGGCGGUUUGCUAAGACCGAUGUGAAAUCCCCGGGCUCAACCUGGGAACUGCAUUGGUGACUGGCAGGCUAGAGUAUGGCAGAGGGGGGUAGAAUUCCACGUGUAGCAGUGAAAUGCGUAGAGAUGUGGAGGAAUACCGAUGGCGAAGGCAGCCCCCUGGGCCAAAUACUGACGCUCAUGCACGAAAAGCGUGGGGAGCAAAACAGGAUUAGAUACCCUGGUAGUCCACGCCCUAAACGAUGUCAACUAGUUGUUGGGGAUUCAUUUCCUUAGUAACGUAGCUAACGCGUGAAGUUGACCGCCUGGGGAGUAC
rnacentral:rRNA from 1 species